UCUCCUGUAGCUCAGUGGUAGAGCAUCUAACUGAUGUAUGGAAGCUCAUAGGUUCGAUUCCUGUUGGGGGAA